GCUUCUCACUUAGCUCAGUUGGUAGAAUGUGAGACUCUUAAUCUCAGGGUCGAGGGUUCGAGCCCCACGUUGGCCA